GACGAACGCUGGCGGCGUGCUUAACACAUACAAGUCGAACGAUGAAGAAAAGAAUCGAAGCUUCGGCAGAAAUUCAUUUCGGAUUAGUGGCAGACGGGUGAGUAACGCGUGAGCAACCUACCUCUUACAAAGGGAUAGCCUCGGGAAACCGGGAUUAAUACCAUAUAACAUUGCGACGAAGCAUUUCGAUGCAAUCAAAGCUACGGCGGUAAGAGAUGGGCUCGCGUCCCAUUAACCGGAUGGUGAGGUAACGGCUCACCAUAGUGACGAUGGGUAACCGGGCUGAGAGGGUGAACGGUCACACUGGAACUGAGACACGGUCCAGACUCCUACGGGAGGCAGCAGUGGGGAAUAUUGCACAAUGGAGGGAACUCUGAUGCAGCGACGCCGCGUGAGUGAUGAAGGAAUUCGUUUCGUAAAACUCUGUUCUAUGGGAAGAAAAGGACUGUACCAUAGGAGAAAGCUCCGGCUAAAUACGUG
rnacentral:rRNA from 1 species